rnacentral:lncRNA from 1 species
GCCACGUUUCCUCCCUGCGUUCACGAUAACUUCAACAACCCAUGGAUAAAACCAAGUCAUUCUUUUCCCCCGUUUCUCCACGUCCUCUUCCCGUUUCUUCCCAAGUUUAUCCUCCCGAGCUUGAGCCAAAUCCUCUUCACCCGGAUUCGUUCUAGAGAGCUCCCAAACAUCCGCAGCUAAUCCUAUUCAAAUCAAGCAUUCCAUCCAGCCAAUUAUAGAACUCAUCCUUAUCCCUUUUCUUCGCGUAUUCAUCCCAACGGCUUUCUUCUCAUCCUCUUCUCCGGAUCACUUGGAUCUUCCAAAGCCCCUGCAUCCCGAAUCAUCUCUCAUCUUCGGAUCAAGCCAGUGAACCCAAAACCCAGCAUCUGGAAGCCAGCUUCAUUCUUCCACAGAUCUCAGCAAUGCGAUCGAGUUUAUUUUCCCCUGUUUCGGAACCUAUCCCAGCCGUUAUCCAGUAGUGUGAUGUUGUUUUUCCACUCCAGCUCUUCUUCCGCAUGCAUUCCGCAUCAGCCACGUCCUGCAUCUUCCUCUGUUCCGGAAUCACUACCGGCCGAAUCCAAUACCUUCCAACAAUUCCAACAACUCCAACAACUCCAUUCCCCAGCAUCUAUGGAUGAACUCCAAAGCCGGACCCCAUGAUUCGUGAUGAUUCUUUCAGCCAGAUCCCCAAGCUCCCCAGCAUCUGGAUUAACAGCAGCCUAUCAAAUUCAUUCCAAAAGAUCAAGCUGACUUCAGCCAACCAAUCCAGCCAUUCGGCGAGCUUCAAAGAUCCAGCAAUCAACACAUCAGCUCCCAGCUCAACUCCUCCACGCGUCCGGAUUAACUCCAACCAGCAGCAUCGGAUUUCUCUGCUUCGGAACAGAUUUCUAGCGAUUAGUUGUGAUCCAUCUNNN